rnacentral:tRNA from 1 species
CCUCUUGUGGUGUAGGGGUAGCGCGCCCUGUCUAGUGAACAGGUAGUCGUGAGUUCGAUUCUCACCGGAAAGU